rnacentral:rRNA from 1 species
AGUGAACGCUGGCGGUAGGCCUAACACAUGCAAGUCGAACGGCAGCACAGUAAGAGCUUGCUCUUACGGGUGGCGAGUGGCGGACGGGUGAGGAAUACAUCGGAAUCUACUUUUUCGUGGGGGAUAACGUAGGGAAACUUACGCUAAUACAGCAUACGACCUACGGGUGAAAGCAGGGGAUCUUCGGACCUUGCGCGAUUGAAUGAGCCGAUGUCGGAUUAGCUAGUUGGCGGGGUAAAGGCCCACCAAGGCGACGAUCCGUAGCUGGUCUGAGAGGAUGAUCAGCCACACUGGAACUGAGACACGGUCCAGACUCCUACGGGAGGCAGCAGUGGGGAAUAUUGGACAAUGGGCGAAAGCCUGAUCCAGCCAUACCGCGUGGGUGAAGAAGGCCUUCGGGUUGUAAAGCCCUUUUGUUGGGAAAGAAAAGCAGCAGGUUAAUACCCCGCUGUUCUGACGGUACCCAAAGAAUAAGCACCGGCUAACUUCGUG